UUUAGGGAUUUGAUUUGAUUUGUCGAUGAAAUUGGAAUCAAUUUGACGAAGAUUCCGUAAAAGGAUUAUGGAAUCGUGUCCUUUGUGUGGUUCGUGCUUGGGAAUAGCUCCACAUUCUGAAACCGUGUUCUUGUUUAUGGUGCUAGUAGUCGCAUUUGAGUUUGAUUUCUGGAUCUCACGGUUCUUCUUGACGUUAUUGUGUUAAGCAUUCUGAUUCAUGGUUUAAUUAGUUAGGAGGAAACUGAGGAACCUAAGCUAGAAGAUGUGAUGCGUAGAGCUGCAACUAAAGAUGGUACAUUGAUUUUGACAACUUUGAAUGAAGCUUAGGCAGCUCUGGGAUCUGUAAUGGAUGUCCUCUUUGAGAGUUUUAGAAUUGGUAAAGGAACAAGAAAGCUUUUGAUGUGCUGUGUAGAGCUGCAACUAACGAUGGUGAUAAUUUCUCUGGAUGCUAAAGAGUACUCGCGUUGCAAUGCAUAAGUAUUGUUUCAGACUUGAAACAAAAGGUGUUCAUUUCUCUGGUGGCGACGCUUAUUUCAUGACUCCUUCUUAUUUGAAAGUGAUGUGGAGAAGAAUCAUUUUCCUUCGGAUUGUACUUGAACAAGGUUACAACUUUGUUUUCACGGAUGCUGAUGUGAUCUGGUUCAGGAACUUAUUUGUUUUUCAAAGCUUUCAGUAUUUAAUGUUGUCUUCUGAUUCUUUUUAUGAACUGCAUUUGAUUGAGACCUCUUGUGAGAUCAUUCACAUACUUACAAAGCCUUAGUCUGCUUGGCAGGGAAUACUGUGUCCUUUUUGUUUGAUAAACUCACAUGACACAUAUGUCAUGCAUUUUGGGAGGCUAAGCGUGGCAUUUCCCAAGGUAUAUAUUGUAUUGUAUUAGCAUGAAGGAUUGAGCUAUAAAUUGGUUGAUAUAUGUGUUGGAGAUAGGAUGUAUUUUAUAUGUUUUAUGGUGUCAUGAAAUCAGAAUUGCAUUUUGGGUUUGGUUUGAUACUUAAGCUGCUCAUAUAUGUGUCUCUGUUUUUUUGAUUUGAAGAACUAUUAUUAUGUGUGUAUAUCCGAAGAAUUGAUUGGUUUAGUGAGCAGAGUAGAGUGAGUAAAGAGAUGGCUGGGCACAAGAUCGCACAUGCAACUUUGAAAGGUCCAAGUGUUGUGAAGGAGUUAGUAAUCAGCCUUCUAUGAUUUGCUUGAGAAAGGAUAGAUUGGUGUUGUUGUUGCAAAAGAGUAAGUUAGUAAUAGAGGGAGAUUUGAUGAUGACAAUUACCUCAAAUUCUAGUGUUUGCUAUUAAAUUUGCUAUUAAAAAGGCUGCAAUGUAACAUACAUACAAAUUAAA